GAUAGCUUGCUAUCAGGCGUCGAGCGGCGGACGGGUGAGUAAUACUUAGGAAUCUACCUAGUAGUGGGGGAUAGCACGGGGAAACUCGUAUUAAUACCGCAUACGACCUACGGGAGAAAGGGGGCAGUUUACUGCUCUCGCUAUUAGAUGAGCCUAAGUCGGAUUAGCUAGAUGGUGGGGUAAAGGCCUACCAUGGCGACGAUCUGUAGCUGGUCUGAGAGGAUGAUCAGCCACACCGGGACUGAGACACGGCCCGGACUCCUACGGGAGGCAGCAGUGGGGAAUAUUGGACAAUGGGGGAAACCCUGAUCCAGCCAUGCCGCGUGUGUGAAGAAGGCCUUUUGGUUGUAAAGCACUUUAAGCAGUGAAGAAGACUCCGUGGUUAAUACCCACGGACGAUGACAUUAGCUGCAGAAUAAGCACCGGCUAACUCUGUGCCAGCAGCCGCGGUAAUACAGAGGGUGCAAGCGUUAAUCGGAAUUACUGGGCGUAAAGGGAGCGUAGGUGGCUCGAUAAGUCAGAUGUGAAAUCCCCGGGCUCAACCUGGGAACUGCAUCUGAUACUGUUGAGCUAGAGUAUGUGAGAGGAAGGUAGAAUUCCAGGUGUAGCGGUGAAAUGCGUAGAGAUCUGGAGGAAUACCGAUGGCGAAGGCAGCCUUCUGGCAUAAUACUGACACUGAGGCUCGAAAGCGUGGGUAGCAAACAGGAUUAGAUACCCUGGUAGUCCACGCCGUAAACGAUGUCUACUAGUCGUUGGGUCCCUUGAGGACUUAGUGACGCAGCUAACGCAAUAAGUAGACCGCCUGGGGAGUACGGCCGCAAGGUUAAAACUCAAAUGAAUUGACGGGGGCCCGCACAAGCGGUGGAGCAUGUGGUUUAAUUCGAUGCAACGCGAAGAACCUUACCUGGUCUUGACAUAUCUAGAAUCCUGCAGAGAUGCGGGAGUGCCUUCGGGAAUUAGAAUACAGGUGCUGCAUGGCUGUCGUCAGCUCGUGUCGUGAGAUGUUGGGUUAAGUCCCGCAACGAGCGCAACCCUUGUCCUUAGUUACCAGCGGGUUAAGCCGGGAACUCUAAGGAUACUGCCAGUGACAAACUGGAGGAAGGCGGGGACGACGUCAAGUCAUCAUGGCCCUUACGACCAGGGCUACACACGUGCUACAAUGGUAGGUACAGAGGGCAGCUACACAGCGAUGUGAUGCGAAUCUCAAAAAGCCUAUCGUAGUCCAGAUUGGAGUCUGCAACUCGACUCCAUGAAGUAGGAAUCGCUAGUAAUCGCGGAUCAGAAUGCCGCGGUGAAUACGUUCCCGGGCCUUGUACACACCGCCCGUCACACCAUGGGAGUUGAUUGCACC
rnacentral:rRNA from 1 species